rnacentral:rRNA from 1 species
AUUGAACGCUGGCGGCAGGCCUAACACAUGCAAGUCGAACGAGCGGUGGACGGGUGAGUAAUGUCUGGGAAACUGCCUGAUGGAGGGGGAUAACUACUGGAAACGGUAGCUAAUACCGCAUACCAUCAGAUGUACCCAGAUGGGAUUAGCUUGUUGGUGGGGUAACGGCUCACCAAGGCGACGAUCCCUCGCUGGUCUGAGAGGAUGAUCAGCCACACUGGAACUGAGACACGGCCCAGACUCCUACGGGAGGCAGCAGUGGGGAAUAUUGCACAAUGGGCGCAAGCCUGAUGCAGCCAUGCCGCGUGUAUGAAGAAGGCCUUCGGGUUGUAAAGUACUUUCAGCGGGGAGGCGUUACCCGCAGAAGAAGCACCGGCUAACUCCGUGCCAGCCGCCGCGGUAAUUC